rnacentral:rRNA from 1 species
UACGGAGGGUGCAAGCGUUGUCCGGAUUUAUUGGGUGUAAAGGGCGCGUAGGCGGACAUUUAAGUCAGGGGUGAAAUCCCGAGGCUCAACCUCGGAACUGCCUUUGAUACUGGGUGUCUUGAGUUCGAGAGAGGUUGGUGGAACUGCGAGUGUAGAGGUGAAAUUCGUAGAUAUUCGCAAGAACACCGGUGGCGAAGGCGGCCAACUGGCUCGACACUGACGCUGAGGCGCGAAAGCGUGGGGAGCAAACAGG